UACGUAGGUGGCAAGCGUUGUCCGGAUUUACUGGGCGUAAAGAGCGCGCAGGCGGUCAGAUAAGUCGAAUGUGAAAGCCCCCCGGCUCAACUGGGGAGGGUCAUUCGAUACUGUUCGACUCGAAGGCAGGAGAGGGAAGUGGAAUUCCCGGUGUAGUGGUGAAAUGCGUAGAUAUCGGGAGGAACACCAGUGGCGAAGGCGACUUCCUGGCCUGUUCUUGACGCUGAGGCGCGAAAGCUAGGGGAGCAAACGGG
rnacentral:rRNA from 1 species